CCAUUACUUCAUUGACCUUAACAAGAAGGAGAAUAAGAAUUCCAACAAGUUCAAGCACCGGGACGUCCCCACCAAGCUCGUGGCCAAGGCAGUGCCGCUGCCCAUGACGGUGAGAGGCCACUGGUUCCUGAGCCCCCGCACGGAGUACAGUGUGGCCGUGCAGACGGCAGUGAAGCAGAGCGACGGGGAGUACCUGGUGUCCGGCUGGAGCGAGACAGUGGAGUUCUGCACUGGGGAUUAUGCCAAGGAGCACCUGGCUCAGCUUCAGGAGAAAGCUGAGCAGAUCGCAGGCCGCAUGCUCCGCUUCUCCGUCUUCUACCGCAACCAUCACAAGGAGUACUUCCAGCAUGCCAGGUAUGGGCGCGGGCUCCCGGCUGGACCCGCCGGGCCUCUCCUCCCUCCCAGCCCUUCCUGCUCCUGUCCUGGCUGUCUGAGGUCACCCCCACCCUCGUGGCUGCCAGUCCCUCCUCUAGGGUUGACGUGUCCUGACGUCACCAGGCUGGCUCUGAAGAGACUGCUACUUUGGGGAUUGGGCUCAGGGAAGAUCAAGGGCUCUGGGGACAGGGCCUUCUGCAAGAGUGUUGUACUAAUGAGCCUGGGAGAAUGAGGUCUGGGUUUGCUCCCACUCUGGGACAGUUCCUUUCACAGGGGUCUACCACCACAGGUCUCUCCGAUUCAGGCCCUGGGGCCAAAGGGAAGGUGGCAGGGAGUGCACAAAAUGAGUGUUCUGAUCACAAAGGGUUCGAGGAAGCACCCAGCUCGUCGGUUUUCAAACUGGGUGCUCCCUCCAGGGAGACAUGUCAGUGAACCCCUUAGAAUGCUGCCAUGGGGUUGGGGGGACCAGAGG
rnacentral:sRNA from 1 species